GACGAACGCUGGCGGCGUGCUUAACACAUGCAAGUCGAACGUGAUUUUUAUGGAAAGCCCUUCGGGGACGGAAGUAAAAUGAAAGUGGCGAACGGGUGAGUAACACGUGAGCAACCUACCUUACACAGGGGGAUAGCCGUUGGAAACGACGAUUAAUACCGCAUGAGACCACAAAGCCNCAUGGCUUAGGGGUAAAAGAUUUAUCGGUGUAAGAUGGGCUCGCGUCUGAUUAGCUAGUUGGAAGGGUAAAGGCCUACCAAGGCGACGAUCAGUAGCCGGUCUGAGAGGAUGAACGGCCACAUUGGAACUGAGACACGGUCCAAACUCCUACGGGAGGCAGCAGUGGGGAAUAUUGCACAAUGGGGGGAACCCUGAUGCAGCGACGCCGCGUGAGCGAAGAAGGUUUUCGAAUCGUAAAGCUCUGUCCUAUGAGAAGAUAAUGACGGUAUCAUAGGAGGAAGCCCCGGCUAAAUACGUGCCAGCAGCCGCGGUAAUACGUAUGGGGCGAGCGUUGUCCGGAAUUAUUGGGCGUAAAGGGUACGUAGGCGGCCUUUUAAGUCAGGUGUGAAAGCGUGAGGCUUAACCUCAUUAAGCACUUGAAACUGGAAGGCUUGAGUGAAGGAGAGGAAAGUGGAAUUCCUAGUGUAGCGGUGAAAUGCGUAGAUAUUAGGAGGAAUACCGGUGGCGAAGGCGACUUUCUGGACUUUUACUGACGCUCAGGUACGAAAGCGUGGGGAGCAAACAGG
rnacentral:rRNA from 1 species